UGGGGAAUAUUGGACAAUGGGCGCAAGCCUGAUCCAGCAAUGCCGCGUGUGUGAAGAAGGCCUGAGGGUUGUAAAGCACUUUCGGUGAGGAGGAAGAGGUGCGAGUUAAUACCUCGUACUGAUGACGUUACUCACAGAAGAAGCACCGGCUAACUCAGUGCCAGCAGCCGCGGUAAUACGUAGGGUGCGAGCGUUAAUCGGAAUUACUGGGCGUAAAGCGUGCGCAGGCGGUUCGCCAAGUCAGGUGUGAAAUCCCCGGGCUUAACCUGGGAAUUGCGCUUGAAACUAGCGGGCUUGAGUGCGGCAGAGGGGGGUGGAAUUCCACGUGUAGCAGUGAAAUGCGUAGAGAUGUGGAGGAACACCGAUGGCGAAGGCAGCCCCCUGGGUCGACACUGACGCUCAUGCACGAAAGCGUGGGGAGCAAAC
rnacentral:rRNA from 1 species